rnacentral:siRNA from 1 species
UAGUUUUAGUUUUCAUGUGUC